GAUGAAGAACGCAGCGAAAUGCGAUAAGUAGUGUGAAUUGCAGAAUUCAGUGAAUCAUCGAAUCUUUGAACGCACAUUGCGCCCCUUGGUAUUCCAUGGGGCAUGCCUGUUCGAGCGUCAUUUGUACCUUCAAGCUCUGCUUGGUGUUGGGUGUUUGUCUCGCCUCUGCGUGUAGACUCGCCUCAAAACAAUUGGCAGCCGGCGUAUUGAUUUCGGAGCGCAGUACAUCUCGCGCUUUGCACUCAUAACGACGACGUCCAAAAGUACAUUUUUACACUCUUGACCUCGGAUCAGGUAGGGAUACCCGCUGAACUUAAGCAUAUCAAAAGCGAGGA
rnacentral:misc_RNA from 1 species